UACCCACAGGACUCUCUUGCUCACCCCAGUGGACAGACUCUCCUUUGUCUAAACCUGGGUGUUGUUCUCCAGCAGUGCAGAGGCUUAGAAAACAACAAUGGUGAUGAAAACUAAUAGAAAUCAGGACAUGCUGAUGUCCACUUGUAACCGGCACUCAGGAGGCAGAAGCAGGAGGAUUAAGGGAGCAAUUAUUCCUCAAAGCCAGAUCAGAAGCUAUGAGCAGAAAAAAAGGAAAUAGCUGCCAACUGGGAAAGAUGGUGGACACCCAGGACAGAGAGCAGCACUGUUGCUUCAACGCCAGACCAUGAAGCAUGAGGAACCAACUCUGGUUUGUGAGUUGUUUGCUCAUUCUCUCAACAAAUUGUGAAUUGCAUUUGGAGGACACCAAAGAAAUAAUACUGACCUACAGGAAAGGACAUUUGGGUUUUACUUAUGAAGAACUGGGGAUGGAAUGUAUUCCUUUCAGAUUUGAAUCAUUAAACUAUAUCCGGGUAUAUGCUCAUUAUAGGAAAGAUGUUAAGUAAUUCUCUAAUUAUAUGUAUUACUCUGUGGGCAGAGGAUCCGGGACAAGUGACUUCUCUCACAUGUCAGGGUGCAGAGCUAAAAGCAGGACUUGACUUCCUGACUUGAGUAACUGUUCUGAAUCCACUGCCUAGCAACCGUGGCCCCAGUUCAGGAGCAGCUAAUGCUGUGAGGAGCCUGGCUUCCUCAAGAGUAGGAGCUCAGGCCUGUUCCCUCUGUUUCCUCUGGUGUUGGACACAGCAGAAAUCACCGUGGAGGCUGCUAUAGCUUCCAGCGAUGAAUCCCAGGCUAUCUCCACUUUAGAUGAAGAUGAGUUGGAGGAAAUGGCAGCCACCCCCAGCCGUUGUAAGCAAAGCCUGGCCCAGGGAAACAGAAAAGAGCAGAGGAAUUUGGAGCCUUUUUCUAACAGGAGAUUGAGUUGAACACUCCCCUGUGCUCACAUUGGACAAUUUAUCUGUCUCAAUGUGUACGUUAUUACUUCUGGCACAUAAUGAAACAUUAUGACCUCACAAAGCAAACUAGUGAGUGUAAUUGUCUCCAUUCAUCUCUCCCCCACCCUUCUAUGGUGAAGGAAAAAAAAAAAAGCUAGCCUGAGCCUUGACGUUUGCUCAGAGAGGAAUGUUUAUAGAAAUUUGUCUUCA